rnacentral:rRNA from 1 species
UACGAAGGGGGCUAGCGUUGCUCGGAAUCACUGGGCGUAAAGCGCACGUAGGCGGCUUCUUAAGUCAGGGGUGAAAUCCUGGAGCUCAACUCCAGAACUGCCUUUGAUACUGAGAAGCUUGAGUCCGGGAGAGGUGAGUGGAACUGCGAGUGUAGAGGUGAAAUUCGUAGAUAUUCGCAAGAACACCAGUGGCGAAGGCGGCUCACUGGCCCGGUACUGACGCUGAGGUGCGAAAGCGUGGGGAGCAAACGGG